rnacentral:rRNA from 1 species
GACACGGUCCAGACUCCUACGGGAGGCAGCAGUAGGGAGUAUUUGGCAAUGGGGGAAACCCUGACCGAGCAACGCCGCGUGUGCGAUGGAGUCCCUCAGGGACGUGAAGCACUGUGGGGGGCCGCCAAACGGGCGGGCAGGAAAUGGCCCGUCCCCGAGGAGCCCCCUAGAAAGCGACUGCUAACCACGUGCCAGCAGCAGCGGUAAUACGUGGGUCGCAAGCGUUAUCCGGAAUCAUUGGGCGUAAAGAGUGAGCAGGCGGUCCGGGAAGUCCGCGGUGAAAUGCGGGGGCUCAACCCCCGCAGGCCGCGGAUACUUCCGGUCUGGGGUGCGGGAGAGGCGGACGGAACUCCGCGUGUAGCGGUGAAAUGCACUGAUACGCGGAAGAACACCGGUGGCGAAGGCGGUCCGCCAGACCGAUACCGACGCUCAGUCACGAAAGCGUGGGGAGCAAAUAGGAUUAGAUACCCUAGUAGUCCACGCCGUAAACGAUGGGGGCCAGGGCGCGGGGUCGACCCGCGUCCGAAGCAAACGCAUUAAGCCCCCCGCCUGGGUACUACGUUCGCAAGAAUAAAACUUAAAGGAAUUGGCGGGUGCCCGCACAAGCAGUGGAGCAUGCGGUUCAAUUCGUGGCUACACGUAGAACCUUACCAGGGUUUGACAUGCCGGCAAAGGCCCCGGAGACGGGGAGAUAGCUAUGCCGGACAAAGGUGGUGCAUGGCUGUCGUCAGCUCGUGUCGUGAGAUGUUAGGUCAAGUCCUCCAACGAGCGCGACCCCCGCCGCCAGUUGCCAUCAUCGAGUUGGGCACUCUGGCGGGACCGCCGGCGACAAGCCGGAGGAAGGCGGGGAUGACGUCAAGUCAUCAUGCCCCUUAUGCCCUGGGCCACACGCGUGCUACAAUGGCCGGCACAGUGGGAAGCGACGCCGCGAGGCGGAGCGGAUCCCAAAAGCCGGUCCCAGUACGGACCGGGGGCUGCAACCCGCCCCCGCGAAGCUGGAAUUGCUAGUAAUCGCGGAUCAGCCAAGCCGCGGUGAAUGCGUUCUCGGGCAUUGCACACACUGCCCGUCACACCAUGAAAGCCUGCAACGCUCUAAGUCGCCAGCCCGACCCGCGAGGGGGGGCGGCGCCCAAGGCGGGGCCGGUGAUUGGGGUUAAGUCGAAACAAGGUAUCCCUACGAGAACGUGGGGAUG